GACGAACGCUGGCGGCGUGCUUAACACAUGCAAGUCGAACGAAGAGCGGUGGAAGCUUGCUUCUAUCAAUCUUAGUGGCGAACGGGUGAGUAACGCGUAAUCAACCUGCCCUUCAGAGGGGGACAACAGUUGGAGACGACUGCUAAUACCGCAUACGAUCUAAUCUCGGCAUCGAGGAUAGAUGAAAGGUGGCCUCUACAUGUAAGCUAUCACUGAAGGAGGGGAUUGCGUCUGAUUAGCUAGUUGGAGGGGUAACGGCCCACCAAGGCGAUGACCAGUAGCCGGUCUGAGAGGAUGAGCGGCCACAUUGGGACUGAGACACGGCCCAGACUCCUACGGGAGGCAGCAGUGGGGAAUCUUCCGCAAUGGACGAAAGUCUGACGGAGCAACGCCGCGUGAGUGAUGACGGCCUUCGGGUUGUAAAGCUCUGUUAAUCGGGACGAAAGGCCUUCUUGCGAAUAGUGAGAAGGAUUGACGGUACCGGAAGAGAAAGCCACGGCUAACUACGUG
rnacentral:rRNA from 1 species